GCUUCAGUGCCAACGGAAUUGGAUCUUCAGUCAUGGUCCCCACUCACAUACCAGAAAUUGCCUAUUCCUACAUCAAGAUCACCUCCAGUAUCCUCCACGCCUGUGAGCUCUGGCAAGAGGCUGAAGCCCUAGCCAGUACAAAUAAGGAUUUUUUUGCUGAACUCAGCACAACGACCUGCACUCUGGCCUUGAACAGCAGCGUGAGGCAGCUGGUCUACUAUGCCAGGCAAGGUUUAGAGAGGCUGAGGCUGGAGACAAAUACUCCUUAAGUGCAGCACAGGGCGAUGAGCUUUGAAAGGGUACGGUGGGCAAGAACAUGGUGGAGAAAGUUUAUCUUCAGACAAGACUUUGUGGCAAAAGGACCAAUGCAGUUCCAUUACAUGACAGAACAAAAUUAAACACUCAAGUUUCUGGAAUUACCUACCUCUUGUAUACAGUCAUUUUCCUCUGUGACAGAGACAGCAGCAGCUGCACAGUCUAGUGUAGUCAGACAAUAGUUUGUUGGCUGCAUAUGAAUUACAGAGCAUCUUGAAAUGUGCUUUAACUAUGCCUGAAAAAUAGAACACUCAAGUAAAAUAAAGAGGUUAGUGCAGCAGAAA